GGGGGGGGGGGCGGGGCGGGGCGGUAAGGCUCAGGCAUGGCGGGCUGCAGGUCCUGAUCCCUGCCCGGCGGGGAGGCAGCUAAGGCCUGGCGAGAAAUCGAGCACAGCAGCUGCUGGCCCAGGUGCUAAGCCCCUCACUGCCCGGGAUCGGCGGGGCUGGCCGGCAGCUCCCAGUGCGGGGCCCUCCGAGCCCACGCCCCACCGGGAACUCCCGCUGGCUCGCAAGCGCCGGGCGCAGCCCCAGUUCCCGCCCGCGCCUCUCCCUCCUCACCUCCCAGCAAGCUGAGGGAGCCGGCUCCGGCCUCGGCCAGCCCAGGAAGGGACUCCCACAGUGCAGCGGCGGGCUGAAGGGCUCCUCAAGUGCCGCCGGAGUGGGCGCCCAGGCAGAGGAGGCGCCCAGAGCGAGCGAGGACUGCGAGGACUUGCCAGCACGCUGUCACCUCUCACUUCCAGAACUAGCCACAUCUCUAAGGAGCUCUCAUUCCUGUUAAUGAAGAAUGAUAUUUACAAACCAAAAUCCAGGAACUAGUGGUCUGGAACUGAACCUGCAAUAUCUCCAAAGUACGCCUGUACUUAGAAUCAGUCUUGGCAUUUCAGGGCAUUGUGAAUCUUCAUUUAGGUUUAGGAGCAAGAUAAUGGAAUAGAAGCCUACAACAUUUGCUCUCCGACCCCACUGGAAAACCAAAUGACUCUUGGGUUUCCUGACACCAGGCCUAGGUGGUGGGACAGCAUUUCUGGACCUGCCCUGGGAAAGAAGGGAGCUUAACAGUCCUGAAAGGACAGACUAGUUCUCCGUCCCUUGCAGCUCAUGGGCUGAGUUCUGACCAAUGGGAUGUAGACAGAGAUGAUGCGCAAUCUUGAAAGGAUAUUACUCUGUCGCCCAAGCUGAAGUGCAGCGGCAUGACCAUAGCUCAUUGCAGUCUCAACCUCCUGGGUUCAAGUCAUCCCCGUGCCUCAGCCUCCCAAGUAGCUGGGACUGCAGGAUUUCAAAGAGAGGCUGUUUGCUUGACUGAAGGAAGUGCCUUUUGACAGAAGAUGCAAUUUAUGUUAUAUGAAUGAUAUUUCUGAUGGCCAAAAGGACCUGUGAUAGCCUGAGAGUCAAAGACAAGCAGGAACGCAUCUGUAGUCAAACAAGGUCAGGUUUAUUUAGUGGACUGCAUCAAAUAAGAACACCCCCAAAUAGGAACUUGGGGCACCUCAGUAAUGGAGAUUUCACAGGAGUUGUUUAUAUGUUUGUGCUUGUGCUUGAUAUUCCCAAGGCAGAUAUGGAAUGAAUCCUGGCUUGGAUUGGUUCUUGUCAACAAGGAGGAGCAGGUUAGCAAUCAGAUUCUCGGUAUUCAUUGUUCAGGUGGUGCUGUAUGUCCCCUCCAAAAGCAUGUUGAAAUUUAAUUGCCAAUAUAAUUGUAUUGUGAGGUAGGACCUUUAAGAGGGGUUUGGCUCAUUGAAGCUCCACCCUCAUGAAUAGAUUAAUGUCAUUAUCGUGGGAGUGGGAUUGUUAUCAUGGGAAUGGGCUCCUGAUAAAAGAGUGGUUUCUGCCUGAUCUCCUCUUUCCCUCUCUCGCAUGCUCACUUGCCCUUCCACCAUAUUAUGAUGCAGCAGGAGGGCCCUCACCAGAUGCUGAUAACAUUUUUUUAACUUCUCAGCCCUCAAAACUGUGAAGAAUAAUUUCUUUCUUUUAUACAUCACCUAGUCUGUGCUAUUCUGUUAUAGCAGAAGACAAUAAACUAAGACAGACAUCGGGAAAACAACACGGGCUUGGGGACAUCAUUUAUAAGAAAGUGAUAAUCACUCAGAGAAAAAAAUGAUUAGUCAUAUUUUCAGCUAUAGUGUGGCCUUUUGUAUAAGCACUGUAUACAAAAAUGCUAUAUCCCAUUGGAAGCAUUUUUUUUUUUUUUUGAGAAGGAGUCUCACUCUGUAACUCAGGCUAGAGUGCAGUGGCACGAUCUCGGCUCACUGCAACCUCCUCCUCCUGGGGUCAAGCGAUUCUCCUGCCUCAGCCUCCCGAGUAGCUGGGACUACAGGUGUGCACCACCGGGCCCAGGUAAUUUUUUUGUAUUUUUGGUAGAGACAGGAUUUUACCAUGUUGGCCAGGCUGGUCUCGAACUCCUGACCUUUUCACUUUCUCAAAAAGAAUAUUGUGACACAACCAUGAAGUGAAGAGUUCUAAGAUCCAACAUAGUCUCACUGAGUUGAUGCAUGUUUUUACCUGACUUCUGAUCAUUUUAUAAACAAUUAAAAUAGUACAGCGGGACAGGACCUUAGAAAUUGUCAUUAUAUGUAUGGAGAGCCUGGAGCACAUUCCCAGGGUCUGCCAAGCAGUUUGUGCCAAAAGAAGGAUUAGGACCCAGAUCUCUGACAAUUAGACAAGGAUCCUUCACAGGACAUCUAUUUUCAUCCUGGUACACACACACACACCUGUACCAAUUUCAGGGGUAAAGUAUUUUGCAAGUGAUUUACUACUAAUAAGAGUGAAAAUACUGGAGUGAUUCUCUAUUACUGUUUUCUCACUGUAAAAAUUUCAAGCAUACAAUCAUAAUAAAGUUAUCUCUUUACUUCAAUCUCCUUUCUCAUCUCCAUAUGGAUAAAUAUGUGUAUCUGACUAUUAUAUUAAAGUAAUGAUAUAGUAGUACAUAUUGUUUUGCUGUUGGCUUUUCCCAAUUAAUAACACACUUUGGAUACUGUUCUGUGUCAGUGUCAAUAAAAUCUGUAAACAUAGAUAACAUUAUUUUAUUAUUUUACAAGGUGAAGAUGUCCUUAAUGAUAUUCAAUAUACUUUUCUACAUUUACAGACUAUGUACAUUUUGUAGAUAGAACUUUUUUAUUAAAAUUAACGUUAUUAACCAUUUAUUUAAAAUACUCACAAAUAUUUUUAUUCAAAAAUUAUCUUGAGUAGUAAGGUUAUUGAGAUGCACAAUAAAUGAGCUACGUACUGCUUAUGAGAGAUGGUAGGCCAUUCUUUCUGUGGAUCAUAAGAAAUAUUUUAAAUAAAUAAAUAGUUUGAAU
rnacentral:lncRNA from 1 species